CUCUCUUUUAUAAUCUCCCAUCCCUUUUGUCAGGUGACCCUUGAUCAGCCUCUUCUGGUGAUCAAAGUCCCUCACCAGCUGAUCCAUUGCUUAGUUACCAGCCCACCUGGGCAGACUGGUUCUUCUGGGCAGUAGCCAGCUCUUUGUCCGGGAUGCUUGUAUUUGAAUAGAGGACCAUCACAGUUGAAGUACCCUGUGUUGCAGGGAUGAGCAACUUUAAGAGCCACAAGAGCCGCAGGGAACAUGAUGAUUCCUUGGAGGACAGAUUGCUGUGGGACAUAGCGAGAACCAAUUCAAGGUUGUUGGUGACAUUCACGGAGCAACUGCGAAUGGUGGAGUGCACUUCUGGGCCCGAGAAACAAGCACAGACUGGUGGGAUCACAUCAUAAGGCUGGUUUACUGCUCUGUGACAAGCAGUAGCUGCAGAACUUUUGGAUGUACAUGGCCACAUUCCUGGAUCUGUGUGCUGAGCUUACCCAGCCCUCCAGCACAGGGGCACUAAACUGAGAGCCGCGCUGACAGUGGAGAAAUGAGUGGUGAUCACACUGUGGAAACUUGCAAUGCCAGAUUAAUACUAGUCAGUUGGGAAUCAAUUUGGAAUUGGGAAAUCCACCGUGGCGGCCAUUGUCAUGCAAUUGUACAGGGUCAUUAAUCACCUCCUGCUAUGCAGGACAGUGACUCUUGGCAAUGUGCAGGACAUAGUGGAUGGAUUUGCAGCAGUGGGGUUCCUGAACUGCAGGGGAGUGAUAGACGGCACGCAUAUCCCUAUUUUGGCACCAGAUCACCUUGCUACAGAAUAGAUCAACUACUUAUCUAGGGUUAUGUAAGCACUGGUGGAUCACCAAGGACACUUCAUUGGCAUUAGUGUGGGCUGGUCAGGAAAGGUGCAUAACACUCACAUCUUUAAGAACACAGGACUAUUUAGAAAGUGGCAAGCAGGGACUCUCUUUCCCAACCGGCAGAUUACCAUUGACAAUGUUGAAAUGCCAAUAGUGAUCCUGGUCGACCUAGCCUACUUCCUACUCCCCUGGCUCAUGAAGCCGUACGUCUCGACCACACCAAGGAAUGCUUCAACUACUGGCUCAGCAGGUGCAGAAUGAUAGUUGAAUAUGCCCUUGGUUGUUUGAAAGGAUGCCAGCAUUGUUUACUCACAAGAUUGGACCUCAAUGAGAAAAAUAUCCCAAUGGUUAUAGCUGCCUGCUGUGUCCUGCAUAAUAGCUAUGAAGCAAAGGGGGAAAGUUUCAGCCGGGGUGGAGGUGGAGCAGAUGUCUGCUGAAUUUGAAUAGCCAGAUACAAGGGCUAUUAGAAGAGUUCAAUACAGAGCUAUACAGCUCAGGGAGAUUUUGAAAGACCAUUUUAUAGUGAGUCAGAGUAGUGUUGUAGUAGUGUGCUCUAUCUGGCCCUGCUCUUUUGCAGCGUGGUAUGAAUUGUGUGGUGAUUGCUGUAUGUGUACAGAUAUAACAUUGUCAAUACACCUAUUAAUUUUAUUUGUGAAUGGUCUUCUGAGUUGUGUGACACUGUGCAGUAACAGGUAAUUGGUUGCUUUAAGAACUGAUGAGUACCAGCCAGCAUAUGUUGUGAACUAAUGAAGACUAGUUAUGUUCCAAAUAAUAGAAUUUUAUUCUGUAACAAAAACAAUGCAAAAAAACCCUGGCAAUUUAAAAACUUAAUAAAACAAGAGAAAAGAACUUAUAAGUGGAAAGGACAGUCAUGUCCAUUUCAGCUACACAUACACCAACCAUGGCUUUCACAGGUCAGUGUAUGAGAAGCUGUGAUUGUCUUUAAUGUCUCCUGGGGAGGAGUGGUAGGGGUAGUGCAGCGACCCCUAAUGACAUGUGGAACGUUGUGGGGAGGGGAUAUAGGGAGGUCCUGAGACUGAAUUCUCAGUGGGCUGCAGAGGUAGGUGAGUUCAUGGCUGUUCAUGGCAGGGGCCUGUGACUUGGGUGUCUCAUGGAAGUAUCCACAGUGCUAUGGGGAGUGGUGGCUGGGUCUCCAGUAAGUAUGACAUGCAGCUCUUUGUAGGCCUGGUUCAGAGCUGUGCUUGCACAUCCUCUUCUCCCCACAGGCCUAGGAGAUCCAUAUCUUCUGUCUACUCCAAGCAGGCAUGGCCAACUGGGCAGUUGCACUCAACAAUGGAGAGCUACUAGAUGUGCUUGCCAAGCGAGGCAAUCAGGAAAAGGAAUUUCAAAAAUGCAUGGGGCUUUAAAGGGAGGAGUGCCUUCUAGGCAGCAGAGUUCACAGUGGUGACCAGACUGGUCAGUGUGGGGCAUUGUGGGACAGCUGCUGGAGGACUUAGGGUCGAUGUAAGUAAUGCAGUGUCUACACUCCCACUGUGUCAACCUAAGUACAUCAACCAUGACUUUACAGCCCUCAGAGAGGUGAUGUUAUUAAGUUGGCAUGAUGGGGCACUUUUGUCGAUAGGAGCCAAAUUAAAGUGUAGACACUUGCACAAUUAGGCCGAUGUAAGCUACCUCUGGUUGACCGAACUGUGUAGUGUAUACCAAUCCUAAACGUUCUAUCAUUUUUGUUGCUCUUCUCUAGACUUUCUUCAGUUUGCAGACAUCUUUCUUAAAGUGUGGCACACAAAACUGAACAAAGUACUCCAGCUGAGCCAAGUAGAGCAGGACAAUUCCCUCCCAUGUCUUAAAUAUGACACUCUUGUUAAUUCAUCCCAGAACGACACUAGCCUUUUUCACAACUGCAUCAUAUUGUUGACUCAUAUUCAAUUUGUGAUCCACUUUUACCCCAGAGCCUUUUCUGCAAUACUACCACCUAAUCAGUUAUUCACCACUGUGUAGUUGUGCUGCAGCAGAAUUUCGGUGGUGUUUUAAAGACAGUCCACUAUAUUAAUGUGGGCAGCCACAAACCAUGACACACAUUGUUAAGGACUGAAAAAUGACUCAACUUCCUGGAGGUCUUCGUGCCUUGAACAUUGUUGAAAAGAAUGCUGUGGCUUGGCUUGCCUGUAUUGCAUAUGCCAAAUAAAUAGUUGUGCAUUUGA